UACGUAGGGGGCAAGCGUUGUCCGGAUUUAUUGGGCGUAAAGAGCGUGUAGGCGGCCAGAUAGGUCCGUUGUGAAAACUCGAGGCUCAACCUCAAGACGCCGAUGGAAACCACUUGGCUAGAGUCCGGAAGAGGAGAGUGGAAUUCCUGGUGUAGCGGUGAAAUGCGCAGAUAUCAGGAGGAACACCGGUGGCGAAGGCGGGUCUCUGGGCAACAACUGACGCUGAGGAGCGAAAGCGUGGGGAGCGAACAGG
rnacentral:rRNA from 1 species